UACGUAGGGCGCAAGCGUUGUCCGGAAUUAUUGGGCGUAAAGAGCUCGUAGGCGGCUUGUCACGUCGGGUGUGAAAGCCCGGGGCCUAACCCCGGGUCUGCAUUCGAUACGGGCUAGCUAGAGUGUGGUAGGGGAGAUCGGAAUUCCUGGUGUAGCGGUGAAAUGCGCAGAUAUCAGGAGGAACACCGGUGGCGAAGGCGGAUCUCUGGGCCAUUACUGACGCUGAGGAGCGAAAGCCAGGGGAGCAAACGGG
rnacentral:rRNA from 1 species